rnacentral:lncRNA from 1 species
AUGAUAAUUACAAGAACACCAUGCAGUAUAAUCAUGCCAAGAUUGCUCUAAACUUUUUGGGUUGUUCAAAAUUUCCAGUGGGCUUAUACACACUAACUCACCCAUACUGAAAAGCAUGCCUUGCAAUGACCAGCCAGGUUCUGUUUCACUAGUACUGCACAAUAGACCAUGAGCUUACUAAAUUAAAUCCAUAGAUUUAAUUCUUAAUAUUUCAAUUGUCUUUUAAGGUAAUUAUACAUUAUAAAUAGAUUCAACUGAUUCAAAUCCAAUUCUUUGUGUCACUUAAUAUUUAAUUCAAUUCAUGGUUGUUAAUGUGAGCACUUACAUCAUAAUAAGAUCAUUCUAAUUGUUAGAUAAAGUGUUCUAUCAGCCUUACACAUUAUAGAGUGUAACAAGAGGUUGAAGCCCUGCUAAAAUUCAGGCAAAAUUCACAGGAUGAAAACAAUGGAAAAAGAAUAUAAGAAUAUAAUAUGUUUAAUAAGGAAAUACACGUGUUACCUGAAUCCAGAAAUUCUCGCUGAGCAUCAUUCAAACAAAAGAAUUAUAUCAUCCUUUCAGAACAGCUGCAAAAGGCGAAAGCAGCUGUCACCGGUCAUAAAAUAGAUAGACAAGAAGUUGUCCUUUCUGGAGCACUAUAUCAUCCCAUGAAGGUAAUUAAUCAAUACUAUUUCAAGAAUUAUAAAGUAUUUCAUAUUUAUAUGUAUGCAUAAUUUUUUCUCUGUCUUAAUAUUGUUUCGAAAAAUUCAAGAAUUUUUGGUACUUGGAAGAGAGGUAGGACAUAGCUAUUGCUAAAACGUAAUUAGCAUUGUUUUCAUGCAUAUUGUACAGUACAUGUGGAAUGUUACACGAUAUUUUUGCAGUUUUGGCAUGCAGUUUUGUUCCUCACUCAAGGUAACUAAAAUCUUUUGAUUUAAGGUCCGUUCACACUAUCCAUUAUGUCGGAUCCAAUUCACUUCUUACGUAUGGAAUGUGGUUUGUUAUCGAUAAAACAGUACUGCAUGCAUUGGUUUUAGUUGAU